UACGAAGGGGGCUAGCGUUGUUCGGAAUCACUGGGCGUAAAGCGCACGUAGGCGGCGCGUUAAGUCAGGGGUGAAAUCCUGGAGCUCAACUCCAGAACUGCCUUUGAUACUGGCGUGCUCGAGUGUGGGAGAGGUUGGUGGAACUCCGAGUGUAGAGGUGAAAUUCGUAGAUAUUCGGAAGAACACCAGUGGCGAAGGCGGCCAACUGGCACAUUACUGACGCUGAGGUGCGAAAGCUUGGGGAGCAAUCAGG
rnacentral:rRNA from 1 species